UUCGAGGCGGGCGGACACCAGCGCGGUCUCCCAGCUCCUGGCCGCGGUCCCCGCGGCGGAGCCGCCGCCGCCAGUCUUGGGCCGCUUGGGGCCCAUGGCGCUGCUCCCGUCUCGCUCUCUAUCUAGGGCUGGAUAUGAGCUUCAGGAUGACCCAGGGGAGAGGGCUGAGCACCCUGUUCCUGACAGAAUGGUUGGAAAUAUGCUGUACCAUGAUGUUAAUGGGAGAAGAGGACUGCUUAGUGGCACUAACCAUCGUGCCCAUACCUCAAUCUGUAUGCUCUGGUUUAUUAGGAAAAUUAAAAAACAGCAACCACUGCAGACUGAUGUCAGCUUGCAAACAGCUCUCAGCAUAUGAACAAUAGUUCUGAGAAUCAUGAACUGGCCUGUUUAUAUCUAUUAUGUGUUUGGUUGGAUGGAUAAUGAUUAUUUGAAGAAAUUUGGGGGUUUUGUUCUGCCGCUUAUCAUCUUAGUACACAUCUAGCUAACUUGCUGUUUAUUACUGUCGAGUGUUGCAGCAAAUAGCAAGUCAAGCUGAAGUAGGACAGCUGAUCACUGGGAGAUUACCAGUUCAUUUAAAAUAGCCUCCAAGACCCUCCCAAAAGAAGAGAAAGGAGAUAUAUUUAUUUGCUACUGCAAAGGACCAUAGGAUAGAGUCCUCAAAUAGGUUCUCCUGCAGUGAAGUCAGCUAAAGGCAUCUCCUGUUUGGCUGUUUAUCCCUGACCAUUCAGUUGUGCUGUCAAAGAUGUUUGUGGGGCCAAGCUAUAAACCAGAUCACUGAAAGCUUCUAGGUUAAAUCCUCCAGAACACAAAAACAACAAAUCAAAAAUAUUGGGAAACUACAGCCUUUGUUUCCUCCAAAUGGCCUAGACUUCAAAAGGCCUAGUUGUCUCCAAGCCAUCUGAAAACCUCCUGCUCCCUUGUGAUAUCUUAAAGUUGAAGUUGCUGAAAUCUUGGAUUAGCAAAACUGAAUGUUGUUCAACUAGAUUGAUAAGUGUGGGGUGAAAGACAUGGACAAAUUAAGGAUCCAGAGGGAUAAUACUCCAAAGUUUGGGGUACUGGCUGCACAAAAAAAGAACGUGCAGACGUAAACCUGUCCACUCCCAUGUAGCAAAAUUGGGCCUGCCUUUGAUGCAAGACUUACUGGGUGAAUCUGUGAAUACUUUUGUAUGACAAGAAUAUUCAUGGUGAGAUUUUUCUGGGAGAGGGGCAACCAAAAAAUCAUAAAGUCAGCCUUUUAUUUUCUGUCUUAUUAAAAAAAAAGUGUAGUGUGUUGGUACACGAACAAAUGG